rnacentral:rRNA from 1 species
AUUGAACGCUGGCGGCAGGCUUAACACAUGCAAGUCGAGCGGAGAUGAGGUGCUUGCACCUUAUCUUAGCGGCGGACGGGUGAGUAAUGCUUAGGAAUCUGCCUAUUAGUGGGGGACGACAUUCCGAAAGGAAUGCUAAUACCGCAUACGUCCUACGGGAGAAAGCAGGGGAUCUUCGGACCUUGCGCUAAUAGAUGAGCCUAAGUCGGAUUAGCUAGUUGGUGGGGUAAAGGCCUACCAAGGCGACGAUCUGUAGCGGGUCUGAGAGGAUGAUCCGCCACACUGGGACUGAGACACGGCCCAGACUCCUACGGGAGGCAGCAGUGGGGAAUAUUGGACAAUGGGGGGAACCCUGAUCCAGCCAUGCCGCGUGUGUGAAGAAGGCCUUAUGGCUGUAAAGCACUUUAAGCGAGGAGGAGGCUACUGAGACUAAUACUCUUGGAUAGUGGACAUUACUCGCAGAAUAAGCACCGGCUAACUCUGUGCCAGCCGCCGCCGUAAUAC